ncrna:Acinetobacter baumannii ATCC 17978 C4 antisense RNA
CGUAGCGGUAGGACGGGAGAGGGACACCUACGGGUGUGCUGGUUAUAUCUUUCACCAGUCUGCUAACCCUUUCUCGUUCUGCCACCAUA